rnacentral:rRNA from 2 species
ACAUGCAAGUCGAACGAACUCUGGUAUUGAUUGGUGCUUGCAUCAUGAUUUACAUUUGAGUGAGUGGCGAACUGGUGAGUAACACGUGGGAAACCUGCCCAGAAGCGGGGGAUAACACCUGGAAACAGAUGCUAAUACCGCAUAACAACUUGGACCGCAUGGUCCGAGCUUGAAAGAUGGCUUCGGCUAUCACUUUUGGAUGGUCCCGCGGCGUAUUAGCUAGAUGGUGGGGUAACGGCUCACCAUGGCAAUGAUACGUAGCCGACCUGAGAGGGUAAUCGGCCACAUUGGGACUGAGACACGGCCCAAACUCCUACGGGAGGCAGCAGUAGGGAAUCUUCCACAAUGGACGAAAGUCUGAUGGAGCAACGCCGCGUGAGUGAAGAAGGGUUUCGGCUCGUAAAACUCUGUUGUUAAAGAAGAACAUAUCUGAGAGUAACUGUUCAGGUAUUGACGGUAUUUAACCAGAAAGCCACGGCUAACUACGUGCCAGCAGCCGCGGUAAUACGUAGGUGGCAAGCGUUGUCCGGAUUUAUUGGGCGUAAAGCGAGCGCAGGCGGUUUUUUAAGUCUGAUGUGAAAGCCUUCGGCUCAACCGAAGAAGUGCAUCGGAAACUGGGAAACUUGAGUGCAGAAGAGGACAGUGGAACUCCAUGUGUAGCGGUGAAAUGCGUAGAUAUAUGGAAGAACACCAGUGGCGAAGGCGGCUGUCUGGUCUGUAACUGACGCUGAGGCUCGAAAGUAUGGGUAGCAAACAGGAUUAGAUACCCUGGUAGUCCAUACCGUAAACGAUGAAUGCUAAGUGUUGGAGGGUUUCCGCCCUUCAGUGCUGCAGCUAACGCAUUAAGCAUUCCGCCUGGGGAGUACGGCCGCAAGGCUGAAACUCAAAGGAAUUGACGGGGGCCCGCACAAGCGGUGGAGCAUGUGGUUUAAUUCGAAGCUACGCGAAGAACCUUACCAGGUCUUGACAUACUAUGCAAAUCUAAGAGAUUAGACGUUCCCUUCGGGGACAUGGAUACAGGUGGUGCAUGGUUGUCGUCAGCUCGUGUCGUGAGAUGUUGGGUUAAGUCCCGCAACGAGCGCAACCCUUAUUAUCAGUUGCCAGCAUUAAGUUGGGCACUCUGGUGAGACUGCCGGUGACAAACCGGAGGAAGGUGGGGAUGACGUCAAAUCAUCAUGCCCCUUAUGACCUGGGCUACACACGUGCUACAAUGGAUGGUACAACGAGUUGCGAACUCGCGAGAGUAAGCUAAUCUCUUAAAGCCAUUCUCAGUUCGGAUUGUAGGCUGCAACUCGCCUACAUGAAGUCGGAAUCGCUAGUAAUCGCGGAUCAGCAUGCCGCGGUGAAUACGUUCCCGGGCCUUGUACACACCGCCCGUCACACCAUGAGAGUUUGUAACACCCAAAGUCGGUGGGGUAACCUUUUAGGAACCAGCC